CGCCUCGAGGGGGGGGCGUCACUGCGCAGGCGCGGCCUCCGGAGCCCGUCCCUGCUCGUGCCCGUGCAAGAGGAGCAGGGCGCAGCUCGCUCACGGCAGGCCCAGUGUCCUCAAGGCUAGCAAAUUUGGGUGCUGCCAGUUCCGAAGAUCAGAGAAUUCCAGAGAUGCAGACCCCCCAGAGAGCCUCCUGCCAAUUCUCUGAAGAAACACCUCACAGAUUGCAGCUGCUAUGAAGCAGUUUUAAAGUCAUGACAGCAACAGAACAGUGAUGGAAUAUGUCAAAGUCAAGAAAUAGCUGUGGUGGCAAGAACUCAUCCUCACAGAAAACGAAGAUUCUGGAUGCGGUUUAAUCAUAAAUAAUUCAUAAAAUUAAAUACAUUCACUAAAAAAUAAACUACAAAGUAAAAAAAUGAAAAA